AGAGUUUGAUCCUGGCUCAGAACGAACGCUGGCGGCGUGCUUAACACAUGCAAGUCGAACGCGAAAGUCCCUUCGGGGGCGAGUAGAGUGGCGCACGGGUGAGUAACGCGUAGGAACGUACCUAAGGGUGGGGAAUAACCACGGGAAACCGUGGCUAAUACCGCAUAAUAUCGCAAGAUCAAAGGAGGCCUCUACUUGUAAGCUUCCGCCGUUAGAGCGGCCUACGUCCUAUUAGCUAGUUGGUAGGGUAAAAGCCUACCAAGGCAAUGAUGGGUAACUGGUCUGAGAGGAUGAUCAGUCACACUGGAACUGAGACACGGUCCAGACUCCUACGGGAGGCAGCAGUGGGGAAUCUUGCACAAUGGGCGAAAGCCUGAUGCAGCAACGCCGCGUGGGUGAAGAAGGUUUUCGGAUUGUAAAGCCCUUUCGGCUGGGAAGAAGGGCGAAGUGGUUAAUACCCACCUCGUCUGACGGUACCAGAAUAAGAAGCACCGGCUAAUUCCGUGCCAGCAGCCGCGGUAAUACGGAAGGUGCAAGCGUUGUUCGGAAUGACUGGGCGUAAAGCGCACGUAGGCGGUUUCGUAAGUCGGAUGUGAAAGCCCCGGGCUCAACCUGGGAAUAGCACCCGAAACUACGAAACUUGAAUGCUUGAGAGGUUGGUGGAAUUCCAGGUGUAGGAGUGAAAUCCGUAGAUUCUGGAGGAACACCGGAGGCGAAGGCGGCCAACUGGCGAUGCAUUGACGCUGAGGUGCGAAAGCGUGGGAGCAAACAGGAUUAGAUACCCUGGUAGUCCACCCGUAAACGAUGGAUACUAGGUGUUCGGGAAAUUAACCUCCUGAGUACUAAAGCUAACGCAUUAAGUAUCCCGCCUGGGGAGUACGGUCGCAAGGCUAAAACUCAAAGGAAUUGACGGGGGCCCGCACAAGCGGUGGAGUAUGUGGUUUAAUUCGAAGCAACGCGCAGAACCUUACCUACCCUUAACAUCCCGGGACAGCCACAGAGAUGUGGUCUCCUCUUCGGAGGCUCGGUGAUAGGUGCUGCAUGGCUGUCGUCAGCUCGUGUCGUAAGAUGUCCGGUUAAGUCCGAUAACGAGCGCAACCCUUGUCCUUAGUUACCAGCAUUAAGUUGGGGACUCUGAGGAGACUGCCGGUGUUAAACCGGAGGAAGGCGGGGAGUGACGUCAAGUCCUCAUGGCCCUUACGGGUAGGGCUACACACGUACUACAAUGGCAGAAACAGACCGUUGCCCCCCCGCAAGGUGGAGUAUCGNUAAACACUUGUCAGUCCGGAUUGGGGUCUGCAACUCGACCCCAUGAAGCUGGAAUCGCUAGUAAUCGCUGAUCAGCAAGCAGCGGUGAAUACGUUCCCGGGCCUUGUACACACCGCCCUGUCUACACCACGAAAGUGGUCAUAACCAGAAGCAGGUGAGCUAACACCUCGGGAGCCAGCCUACACAAGGUUGUGCCGCGAUUCGGGGUGUAUAGUCUGUACACAAGGUAGCCUGUAAGGGGAACNUGCGGCUGGAUCACCUCCUUA
rnacentral:rRNA from 1 species